rnacentral:lncRNA from 1 species
GUAAGCCAAAUGUAUCCUUUUCUUCCCAACUCGCUUUUGGUCAUUGAAGUAAUCAUAACCCAAACUAAGACAGGGAUCACUUUGUGAGGCAGGAAAAAGAAAGUGGAGGUGGUAGGGGUGGGGGGUGGGACUGUAGCUUCAUCAACACCAUCCCCCUAACUCUUUUCUCUAGAUGCCCCAGAAAACUGGACUUAUUUACUAUGUCUCUCAAGUUGAAUGUGAGCAUGCACACAUGGAAAAGCCAGGCCCUCAUCUUGUUUCUCCCUUUCUUUUUAAAAAAUCAAGCCAGGUGACGGUGGCAUACACCUUUAAGGAGGCAGAGACAGGCGGAGCUCUGAGUUCGAUGUCAGCCUGGUCUACAGAGUUCCAGGACAGCCAGGGCUACACAGAGAAACUCCAUCAAAUAUGCAUAAAAAUAAAAUAAAUAAAUCUUUAAAAAAUAUCUACAAGAAGGAAUCAGAGCUACUUUGUGCAAAGUAUGCCCAAAGAUCCCAGGUUUUCAGCCAGAGAGAUGAUUUGGUUGAUAAAAAACACUUGUCACGAAACCUGAUAACCCAAGUUGAAUCUCUCAAACUCACAUGGUAAAAAAACAAAGCAAGCUGUCCUCUGACCUCCAUGUGCACAAAAUGUCAUAUGUGCCCAAACAUAAAUGCAAACACACAAAUAUGCAUAAUAAAAUUGUUUAUUUAAAUCUCUUAUUUUUGUAAUCCAAAUGCUCACUGUAACCCUAUCACUUAUAGCUUGUCCACCUCUUCCCAACAUAACCUGCACCCCAUUAAGAAUGUGUCAGCAGGCUUUAGAAUCAUGGUGCACAGGGCUUCUGUGUCAUAAGAGCCUCUUCUUGACAUGACUUCACCUACACACUGUGUGUGACUCCAUGUUUCCAAGGAUGGGUAGCCUAGUGGGCCUUGCCCUUAAAGUUGAUAGACUCCAUUGCCUCUGGCAGUUUCAAGUAGAGUUUCUCAUUUCCAUCUUUGUUUCUGGCUUCUUAAAUCCUCUAAACUAAGAUGAAUUGAGUGAUCUUGCUUGGGAUGUUGUAAGGUUUGGGGAGCAAGGGCAGAUCCACCCUACUUUGACAGUAUUACAUCAACAUUUUAGAUUUAUUAGUAAUAGUGUGUGCUUGUGCGUGUGUGUGUGUGCGUGUGUGUGUGUGUGUGUGUGUGUGUGUGUGUGUGUGUGUGUGUGUGUGUGUGUGUGUGUACAGCAAGAUUCCUUCUCACUGCCACCUCCCCACCAAGGGAGUCUAUCUCACUAAAGUUCACAACUGGUUUUGAGACUAGUGAGGGCUGUGGGCUUGCCCUGACAGUGGGACUGCAGUCUGUUCUCACAAGGGUCCCCAGCUUGCUUUUUGGACAUAUCUUUCUUCCCCUCUCCUCUACCCAGGAGCCUUCCUUUCUAUACACUGACAGCUGUCUUUUUCUCUGCACUUUUCAGGUAUUGUAUCACUUACUACCUUUGCUCUUCAUGUCUUUGGAAUAGACCCCUCCUAUUUUUUUUUUUUGUUUGUUUUAUUCGCACUCUUCUUCUCUGGGUCACAUGGAAGUAACUUCUAAGCAACCAUCUGUGGUGGUUUGAAUAAGAACGGCCCCAGUAGGCUCUUAUAUUUGAAUUGUUAGUCAUCAGGGAGUGGGCUCUAUUUGAGAAGGAUUAGCAGAUCCUCCUUGGUGGAGGAAGUGUGUCACUGGGGAUCAGGAUCAGGAUGUAGAACGCAAUUAUUUCUCCCACACCAUGUCUGCCUGCAUGCCACCGUGCUCCCACCAUGAUAAUAGUGGUCUAACCUCUGAAACUCUAAACAAGCCCCCAGUUAAACGCCUUCUUUUAUGAGGGUUGCCUUGAUUAUGGUGUCUCUUUACAGCAAUAGAACAUUGAUGAAGACACCAUCUUACCCAGAAGUUCUUUCGAGACAGUCUGUGUUGUUAAGGCUGACCUUGAGUUCAUGGGCUCAAACAAUGUUGCCUCAAUCUCACAAGUCUCUGGUGACUACAGGUAUGCAGUAACAUGCCUAACUUGUAUUUAUUUCUCUUUAUUUUUAAAUAAAAGGAAACUUUUUGUAUUGUUUUGUGGUUUUUCGAGUCAGGCUUUCUCUGUGUAGCCCUGGCUGUUGUGGAACUUGCUCUAUAGACCAGGCUGGCCAGGAACCCACAGAGAUCUGCUUAUCUCUGCCUCCCAUGUGCUUAGAUUAAAGGUGUGGUCAUCACUGCCAGGUUAUAAGCAUCUCUUAAGCCUCGCCAUUAUAAAGAAACUGCAGUGAGUGGCAGUUAGUUCUAGGCUUUAGUUCUGGAAUGCUAAUUACUGUUGCUUCAGGAAAUUAUCACCAUUUAACCAAAAUGGAAAAGCUUUUUAAAAUGGAGUAGCCAUGGCUAACAGAACCUAAGGAACAACAGAUAAAGUUGUCUUAUGGCCUUCAUGUGUACAUGUACACACACACACACACACACACACACACACACACACACACACACACACACGAGAGAGAGACCAAAAAAACACCAUAAACUUUUCAUAACUGAAUUAAGUGUAUUUCAAGCAAUUUUUUUUUCUUUUUUUAAAUGUCUGUUACUUUUCUGUACUCCCGUUUGCCCUCUGUCCUCCAGGCCUUCACGUGUUUGUCCCUCUGUUUCUAACUCAGCCUGUCUGUGAAUCUGCUUUUAAGAUUCAAUUCAAGUGAUACAGUGGUGGUACACGACUUUAAUCCCAGCACUCAGGAGGCAGAGACAGGCGGAUCUCUGUGGGUUUGAGUCCAGCCUGGUCUACAAGUGAGUUCCAGGACAGCCAAGGCUACACAGAGAAACCCUGUCUUGAACCCAUCACCCCUCAAAAAAUAUCAGCCUAAAUAGAGCACCUUCUACUGCUUGUACCUUGUACACUUUACUUUUCUCCUCAGAUUAAUUUUUCCUGUUUAUAUUCCCAAUUCUGAGUAUACUGUAGCACGUGUGUGUGUGUGUGUGUGUGGUGUGUGGUGUGUGUGUGUGUGUGUGUGUGUGUGUGUGUGUGUGUGUGUGUAUCAGAGUUGUUUACUGGAGCAAAAGUGAGAGUUUCUUUACAGGAUGGGCAUCGGUACAAUACUAGAAUGAAAAACUCUUUUGUUUCAAAACAAAAGGUCCUUUUUUUCCCCCUUUGGUUUUUCGAGACAGGGUUUCUCUGUGGGUUUGGAGGCUGUCCUGGGAACUAGCUCUUGUAGACCAGGCUGGUCUCAACCUCACAGAGAUCCACCUGCCUCUGCCUCCCGAGUACUGGGAUUAAAGGCUUGCACCACCAACGCCCGGCAGCGGUAUUUUCUUGGCUAGGUCUAUUCCAAUUUGUUUUUGUUUUUAAGGCUACUGUGUAUUUGGUGCAUAUAUAUUUAGAACUGUAGUGUCCUCUUGUCAGCUUGUUCCUUUGUUUGUUUAUUUAUUUGUUGGAUAUUAGAGUAGCAAUGCCUGUCUGUUUCCUAGUUUGAUUUGCUUGGGAUACGUUUUCCAGCCUUUUAUCCUUCUUUCUGGCGAUCGGCAGUUGGCCAUUAACACUGUCCCCGGCGGAUGACCUCUCCUCUCUUCUCUCUUACUCUCUGCUCUGCUCUGAUCUUCCAGUUCUCUCCCCCCUCUCUCUCCCAAGCUAUAAUAAACUGGUUAAUGUGUUCUCCAUAAGUUCCAUUGUCCAUCUCUCUCAAAUUUCUAAUUUAAGCAAAAGAAUAACAGUAUCUACCUUUGAUGGUGAGACGUUUUGUGUCUUUGGGAAGCAGCAAAUAGAUGGAUCCUGCUUUUAAGUACAGUUUGCUAGUCAGUGUCUUAUGAUUGGAAACCAUUAAUAUUUGGAAGUAUUGUUGAAAGGUGUAUAUUAAUUAUUGCCAUUUUGCUGGUUUUGCAGUGUUUGUUGUUUUCCAAAUUCAUAUUUGUUUAGCUGUCACAGUAGCAUCUAAAGCCUCUACGAUGUGCUCGUUGUUUUUCUCAAUCCAAAGAAUUCCUCCCAGUAUCUGCUAUGGAGCUGAUGUUGUGGACAUAAAUUCCCUCGCCUGCUCUAUUUAGAGGAUGUUCUUUUUCUAUCAAUUAUAACAGAUAGUUUCCCUGGGUAUACUUGUUAGGUUCAAAGCAGGCCCUAAAACUGGCAGUGCUGGCGACACCAUCCUAAACAGAAGGGCUCUGAGCAGGUAAACAAGGGUAAGCAGAAGCCUACACUCAGCAUUCCUCAGGAAUCUCCUAAGGAAGACUUGCGUUUACUAGGAAAACACACCACUUCCCUUACUCCCUUACCCACCCAAACUACCUGGAGCAAGGGCAUCUAGUUCCCAAAUAAUUAAUCUAAUAGCCGACUAUCAGCUCAAAGACCCGCAUCCUGUUGGCUCUUAUAGAGAACCUGCUCACUUUCCUGCCAAGCUCCUGCCAUCGAUUCUUGGAGUCAGAUUGGCAGUUUGUUCCCCCAAUAAACUUUUCUUUCUCCCCAUUGAGUAGUCCAGUCUGGUGGCUUCACUGAACCCUUACUUACAAUAUUAAUCUGGGUUGACAAGUAUUAUCUUUCCAAACCUGAAGUGUAUUUUUCCAUGUUCUGGCUUUUAUUUAAAGUUUCUGCUGAGAAAUGAGCUGUUAUUCAGGUGGGGCUGCCUUUGCAUGUGACUUGUGUUCAGCUGGAACCUCCAGCUGGCCCAUACAUGGUCCAGAAAGCCCCAUUCCUGUCUCUCCAAACCCCACCCACUCAGAGGCUCUCCAACAAAGGGAAGGCACAAAAAAGCCCAAUUGCACGUUCUUAGCUGCUGUGGCUUCCUCCCCUGAAGUUGCAUCUGCCCAAGUCCCCACCUAAGGCACUCAGCUUUUGACCAUACUUGAGCUCAAACCCAGACUGUGGUGGACAUGUCAUCACCCCCUCACCUAAAACCUAUAUAAUCUCCUUGCUUUUGUUUGGGCAUGUGGCUUCUCUGGCCCCAAUCUCUGGGACUGGAGAACCUGCCUGGGAGUUGCUUUGCUCAAAUAAACUUAUUAUACUUUUUCAAGUUGGCUUGAUCUGGCGUACCUGUGUUAGUGGAGAAACCUAUUAUGAGGGGACAGAAAACCUAUUAUUAUCUUGGUGCCAAAACCCAGAAGGAGACAUAAUCCACUUUUGACUUGGGGUAAGCCACCCAUUUCCUAGUCACCACCUAAAGAGGUACAGGUCACCUCUUCCCAGUUCCAGGACCUUCGGGAUCCCCUACCAAGCCACAGUUGUGCCAGGGUAAGCCCAAUCUGUGCAGAGACGGUCUCUGUUUGAGGGGGGGCUUUGUGUAAGGAGAUAUCAUUCCCAAAGGCUACCCCACCCCCACUGCUCCACCCCAGGCUAUCUCGUGGGAUGCUUUGCCCUAGUCUUCACUCCAGCACAGACUUGGAAAUGAGCAAUGCCAGGUCUAAACCUAAUCCUCAGUCAGCCCUGAGGUGUCUGCUGUGAAAUUUAUCCAAAUUGGGGCUGUCUCAGACCAUACACCCAAAACCUUAGUCAGCCCUGAGGUGUCUGCUGUGAAAUUUAUCCAAAUUGGGGCUGUCUCAGACCAUACACCCAAAACCUUAUGUCCAGGUUUAUUUUGUUUUGGUUUUUCUUGCUGUUGUUACUGUUUGGUUUUGGGUUUUUUUAGAUUUAUUUAUUUACUGUGUUGUCUUUGGUUUGCAUGUUUGUCUACAGGCCACAAGAGGGCACCAGAUGUCAUUGCAGAUGGUUGUGAGCCACCUUUUUUUCUUUGCAUUGGUGCCAAAGAUUAGGCUCUCCUGGUAUUUGGUCUGGCCAUGCUGGGAUACUACCUGUCCCAUUCCACCCAAACAGAUCUGAUCUCCCUGCUUGUUUCUGUCUGCUGUUCCACCCUACCACGGUAGGAUCCUACCCACUCACUCCACCUGCAACAGAUGCGCUCAUUUGUUUCUGUCUGCUUUCCUACUCUAAACUUCAUAAAUGUCUGGUCUAUACAUUUGUUGCAAUGUGGGAGUCAGAGCCAGAGAGGCCAGCUACUGUGUGCCCAGCACACACCUUUUCUCCCUUGCAGCAUCUACCGAUCUAAUAAGACAUACCAGCUCCUGGCAGGACCCCUGUCUCCCCCCAAAGAAAAUGGAUGGGUGCAGCACCAAGGCAAUAGAUUUUCUGUCCCCAAAUAAUAGGUUUCUCCACCAACAAUCAAGCCAAAUUGAAAAAGUAUUACAGGUUUCUUUGAGCAAAGCAACUUGGUGUUUCUCUUUGUUCUGUAUAUUUAGUGUGUAACUAUAACACAAUAGGGAGAGUUUCUUUUUUGUCAUGUCUAUUUGGAGCUAUAUAUGCUUUUAUUUUUUUCUUUACUUCAAUGGGCCUCUUUCCCUCUAGAUUUUGGAAUUUCUCUACUAUAACUGUAUUGAAAACAUUUUCUAUGCCUUUGACAUGGAGUUCUUUGGAGGAAGAAAAAGCAGGGGAAAGAAUAAGGAGAGAAGGCUCUUGCAGGGGGGUUACAUGUGGGUGUAAAACGACAAAAGCAAGAUAGAGUAAGAAGGGCUGAGCCAGGCUGCUAAAUAAUAUCGGGUAUUAAAGAGGGAAAUUGCUGGGUAGAGAUAUAGGAUAUAAAAACUGACUGGCAGGGCUGAAGAGAUGGCUCAGAGAUCUGCUCUUCCAGAGGUCCUGAGUUCAAUUCCCA